CCUACGGGUGGCAGCAGUGGGGAAUAUUGGACAAUGGGCGAAAGCCUGAUCCAGCCAUGCCGCGUGUGUGAAGAAGGCCUUCGGGUUGUAAAGCACUUUCAGUGGGGAAGAAAGCCUUGGGGCUAAUACCCUCGAGGAAGGACAUCACCCACAGAAGAAGCACCGGCUAACUCCGUGCCAGCAGCCGCGGUAAUACGGAGGGUGCGAGCGUUAAUCGGAAUUACUGGGCGUAAAGCGCGCGUAGGCGGUCUGAUAAGCCGGUUGUGAAAGCCCCGGGCUCAACCUGGGAACGGCAUCCGGAACUGUCAGGCUAGAGUGCAGGAGAGGAAGGUAGAAUUCCCGGUGUAGCGGUGAAAUGCGUAGAGAUCGGGAGGAAUACCAGUGGCGAAGGCGACCUUCUGGACUGACACUGACGCUGAGGUGCGAAAGCGUGGGUAGCAAACAGGAUUAGAUACCCGUGUAGUC
rnacentral:rRNA from 1 species